UACGUAGGGGCUAGCGUUAUCCGGAAUUACUGGGCGUAAAGAGCGCGCAGGUGGUUGAUUAAGUCUGAUGUGAAAGCCCACGGCUUAACCGUAGAGGGUCAUUGGAAACUGGUCGACUUGAGUGCAGAAGAGGGAAGUGGAAUUCCAUGUGUAGCGGUGAAAUGCGUAGAGAUAUGGAGGAACACCAGUGGCGAAGGCGACUCUCUGGUCUGUAACUGACGCUGAGGCUCGAAAGCGUGGGGAGCAAACAGGAUUAGAUA
rnacentral:rRNA from 1 species